rnacentral:rRNA from 1 species
AUUGAACGCUGGCGGCAUGAUUUACACAUGCAAGUCGUACGGUAACAGGCCGCAAGGUGCUGACGAGUGGCGAACGGGUGAGUAAUGCAUCGGAACGUGCCCAGUCGUGGGGGAUAACUACUCGAAAGAGUAGCUAAUACCGCAUACGAUCUAUGGAUGAAAGCGGGGGACCGUAAGGCCUCGCGCGAUUGGAGCGGCCGAUGUCAGAUUAGGUAGUUGGUGGGGUAAAGGCUCACCAAGCCAACGAUCUGUAGCUGGUCUGAGAGGACGACCAGCCACACUGGGACUGAGACACGGCCCAGACUCCUACGGGAGGCAGCAGUGGGGAAUUUUGGACAAUGGGCGCAAGCCUGAUCCAGCAAUGCCGCGUGCAGGAAGAAGGCCUUCGGGUUGUAAACUGCUUUUGUACGGAACGAAACGGCUCUGGUUAAUACCCGGGGCUAAUGACGGUACCGUAAGAAUAAGCACCGGCUAACUACGUG